rnacentral:lncRNA from 1 species
UAAAGGGGACGGAGUCCCCUAAAGGGGAAGAAGAAGAGACGAAGGGGGUUACCCUUUGGGGAAGAAAACGAAGGGGUGUUCCUCCCCGAAGGGGAACUUCUUCAUCCCCUACGGGGAACUAAAGGGGACGGAGUCCCCUAAAGGGGAAGAAGGGGUUCCCCAAAGGGGAAGACUUUGGGGUUCUUCCCCUAAAGGGGAACUUUAGUGCUCUUCUUCUUCCCCUAAAGGGGAACUAAAGUUCCCCUUUAGGGGAUGAACUAAAGGGGAACCCCUUUAGUUACCCUUUAGGGGAUGAACUCCCCUACGGUUCCCCUUUAGGGGAUGAAGAAGGGGAAGACUUUGGUUCCCCUUUAGGGGACGAUGAAGAACUAAAGGGAAUCACACCCUAGGGUAUCACUUCGGUUUUCAUUCCCUUUAGGGACAACCCGAAGGUUUGUCCCCUUUGUUACCCUUUAGGGGACGAGCCCAAAGGUGUCCCCUUUGUUCAUUGUCCCCUUUAGGGGACGAUGAACAAAGGGGACAACCAGAGGGGACAGGGGGACAAGUAACCCAAGGGGGACAAGGAACCGAAGGGGGUUCCCCUUUAGGGGAAAGCCAACAAAGUAAUAAGGGCCCUUGACCAGAACGAGGGCAAAGUACCCCUUAAUGACGUUAGGUCCCCUGGUACAAGCGAACUCCCUUAAGGUAGUUUAACGUAGUAUGGUUUUUAUAGUCACAAGGGCUUCGUUGUUAAAAACNUUGUGGGGUUCAAUCUUCGACCCUCGUGGUUUUGACGAACAUCAGUGAAGGCCUUGGCCCGAACGAAGGCCGUUGUACGUAACGUGUACGCUCGGUUAAGCCUAGGAUGGUUCUCAACAUACUACAUCCUAGGCUGCACUU